ensembl:lncRNA
CCUGCUGGUUACAACUCUGAGGUCUGGAUUGGUGUUUACAUUCAUUUACAACGGCGUUCUGCAUCUCAGAAUGAUGAUGAUUCCUGGAACUGGAAAAAACAAAUUCAAAGUGAACCUUUCUUAGUUUCCUAUUUUUGUAAAAGCAUUUCAGUGAGUAGACAGUGGUAUUCCAACUGCUCAGUGGAACAUCCAUUCAUCUGUUACAAUGGAACUUCGCAGAGUCCUCAAUAUGUUCUUGUUAAUGAAAGCAUGGACUGGUUCCGAGCUCUGAGGUACUGCAGAGAGAACUUCACAGACAUAGCCAGUUAUUCGAUAUCUGACAGUCAGUUGCAAAUACUGCUGCCAAAUGGGGAUCGAGCGUGGAUAGGCGUCAUUUCACAUCCUGAAAUUCGCCAGAGAGAUUGUGGCAACUCCUCAUUCAGAUACUGGGAUGACUCUGGAAUCAUUCCCAGCAUUUUUCGCUCAUUGUUUGGUGUUGCAGAUUUGCAGAGGUCAGGAAAAUGGAGGUUCAUUGAGUAUUUCACAAAAAUCCCAUUUGUCUGCUUUGACAACCUGCCAGCUCCUGGAAAGGAAAAUGUUCAGAAAAAAGUAAUAAAAAUGAGCUUGAAUCUGGAGGACUUGUCUGUGGAUCUGAAUGACAGAGCUGUCAAAGCAAACCUCCUAACAAAGCUGCAGGACAAACUGGAGGAAAAAGGAGUGAAUGGAGUCAAUCUGAAGUGGAGAAAGCUGCCUGAUGGAGCAGUCUUCCAUAAAGAGGAGAAAAAUACUAAGAAGGAAGAAAAGAAGAAAACUGAGCUGUGAAAUUUAAAACCAACUUUACUGCCACUUACAGCUUAACAAAUUUAUCAGAGCCCCAUCCAGUGUAAGGUUGCUGAUUCUCAUUCCCACUGCUUCUCGACAGGGCCAUUUACCAAGAGCUACGUCAGAAAACAUUCUGUAAAGAAAAACAUUUACUGAUGUUACUGAACGACGAGGACCCAGUGUUGAGAAAACUGACGGUCGAUAUCAUUAAAAAUCACCUGAUCGACACUAUGCAGAAUCCAGCCGUGUGUAGCUGAAGAGGCUGAAAAUUACAGGUUAUCUGUGGAAACCUCUAUCAAGAAGGUGGUGACGCGUGUCAUUAACAAUGCCAGUUCACCUUGCUGUACUGAAAAAGUUGAUGCCAUCACCCAACGGCUGUUCAUAAAACUCUGGCCUAGACUUAAAAAAAUCAAAAUCGACAAUGUGAUAUUCCUCAGUGAUAUGGUUUACAGCUCUUUAAUAGAGAAAUGGAAAGAGCCAGAUGUCAUACUGACAUUCAUGGAAUUAGGCCACAAACAUACAGAUGAUGUAAUUGUAAAGGUUUUCAAGGAGCAUGCCAUCACUGUAUUGGAAAGAGAACAUUUCAUCACAAGCUUCUUUCUCUCUGCGGGUCAUGCUGUAUGGAUCGCAGGCAGAAAAUACUUGGUUAGUGUUUUGUAAGUCCCUAAAAGUAGAUUCUGUUCAUCUGGACGUAGCAUUUUCAGUUUCAAUUUAUUUAACAUCUAAUCGAUUCAGGGUUUUAGAGUGCUUUGUAAUGAUGUGCGUCCUGUGACGUGACAAUAUUUAGUCGCUUUGAAGCAUGCCUAUAGCAUAGCCCAUCAGUGGUGUCAGUUUAUGUGUGGGUAUAUAAAAUAUUUUUAUAUUGUUAAAAAAGUACAUCAAUGUAAAAAAUUUAAAAUGAUAAAUGUGUAAACUAAAGUCAAAAGCUGUGCGGUUUAUGAUGUCAGUGUGGCCCCCCGCUCCUUUUAAUAUUAUCAGUUAUAGCCAAAACAACGAAUAGGAGCAGUACUAUAUGGUACUAUUUGAGGUGCUAGUAC